GUUUGCUCCAAAAGAUGGCAGAAAUAGCCGGAUCGACAUCCAGAGAGGAAAUCCUGAAGGAAAGUGGGCCUCCCGCCAUACUUGGACAAGGUCCCAAUGUGUGGAUAAUAGGGAGCAGCUACGUUAGACGUGGGGAAGAAAGAGCCAGACACACCAUGGGAAGCAACCUGGGUCUCAAUUGCCGUGUGUGGUGGUUUGGCAAGGGUGGUCUGAGGUGGAG